rnacentral:rRNA from 1 species
GACGACGCUGGCGGCUGCCUAGCACAUGCAAGUCGAACGAGAAAGUUCCUUCGGGAGCAAUUAAAGUGGCGCACGGGUGAGUAACGCGUAGACAAUCUGCCCUUCAGUCUGGGAUAACUUUUCGAAAGGAGAGCUAAUACCGGAUAACAAUGCAUGACACAAGUUGUAUAUUUGAAAGCUUUAUGUGCUGAAGGAGGGGUCUGCGUCCCAUUAGCUAGUUGGUAAGGUAAAGGCUUACCAAGGCAACGAUGGGUAGCGGGUUUGAGAGGACGAUCCGCCACACUGGAACUGAGACACGGUCCAGACUCCUACGGGAGGCAGCAGUGGGGAAUAUUGCACAAUGGAGGAAACUCUGAUGCAGCAAUGUCGCGUGAGUGAAGAAGGCCCUUGGGUCGUAAAGCUCUUUUAUGGGGGAAGAUGAUGACGGUACCCCAAGAAUAAGCACCGGCUAACUAUGUGCCAGCAGCCGCGGUAAUACAUAGGGUGCGAGCGUUGUUCGGAAUUACUGGGCGUAAAGGGCGCGCAGGCGGAAUAGUAAGUCGGAGGUGAAAGCCCGGGGCUCAACCCCGGAGGGUCUUUCGAAACUACUAAUCUAGAGAGGGUCAGGGGCCGGCAGAAUUCCUGGUGUAGAGGUGAAAUUCGUAGAUAUCAGGAGGAAUACCGGUGGCGAAGGCGGCCGGCUGGGGCCACUCUGACGCUGAGGCGCGAAAGCGUGGGGAGCAAACAGGAUUAGAUACCCUGGUAGUCCACGCCGUAAACGAUGAGCACUGGACGUCCGGAGGGUUCGACCCUUCUGGGUGUCUCAGCUAACGCAUUAAGUGCUCCGCCUGGGGAGUACGGUCGCAAGACUACAAUUGAUACG